rnacentral:lncRNA from 1 species
GGGGGUGGGUGGAUAUGGGGGACUUUUGGUAUAGCAUUGGAAAUGUAAAUGAGUUAAAUACCUAAUAAAAAAUGGAAAAAAAAUACAUUUUUUUUCAGAUGAUUUAGUCUAACCAUACCAAUUUCCCAUCAGCUUUAAAGGAGAGUUACAAUGAGCAGUGUAAGUCAGUAACUUAUCUAGUAGAAACCAGCCAGAAUGCACACAGAGCCAGGCCUGUUGGUACACACUGGGCAUCUUAGCACUUGGUAGCUACAAGCAGGAGGAGAAUGAGUUUGAGACUAGCCUGAGCUACAUAAAAUCCUGUUUUAAAAAACAAAACAAAGUCAGACAAAGUGUGCUUUGUGCUUGUGUAGGUAGCUUCCAUAGCACCGGAUCCUUCCUUGAAAAUUUCAGUCUCUCAGCUAACAUCAGGAUAUGGGAUCUUUUAAUAGAUACUGAUAAUAAAUUAAGUAAAGAUCAGAAGCCUCAUUUUUUUUCCUUGUAAAAAAUGAAGAGUUCUGUUCUUUUCAGCUAUACUUUAGUGUGAAAGAGACAGUGUUGAGAAGUGCCCCUUUCUCCUCUCCUCAUGGACUUGGGUUUGCUUCUUAAAGCAAUGAAGAGAAUGCCCUGUAGGCUCAUACCAUAUAAAGCAUUCCGGAAUCAUUCUCCUUCAGGCUUUAGGGAGAAGAGAAAAUAUGUCCAAAUCAUAAGCCACACUGAGGGAGAAGCAAAGUCCAGGUGGCCAAACCGUGCACUGUUCCAUGGAGGGACCAAAAGAUGGAUAGAUUACAACUCAAGAAUGGCUGUGGGACUCAAUGGUUCCAGUUCUCAAGUGGUUUCUUUUCUGUUCUUUAGAGGAUCAGGGCCAGGUAUAUCCCUCCUCCUCCCUCCAUAUAAACAUUAGUUUUGUGUGUGGAUCUGUCUGCUUUGUCCUUCAUGUGGCCUCUAAGGGUGAUAAAGCGAGAGUCAUCUGAUCUACAGUGAACAGAACUGGGAAGUGGUUCUCAGCAGACCCAGCUGUUCCGACAUGCAAAUGCUCAGUGCACCAAGAAGUCAAACGUACAGUAACCUCCUUAAGGUCAUACCCACAUAACUCAUCACAUUUGAAACCAACCCCCUUCUUAACCCUUUAUUCUCUAAUUCAGGGUACUUUAUAAAAUGUUUUGCCUUGCACCCUAGUUUUCAAUGUUAGAACAAUCUAUAUUACUAUAUUAUUAACAUUAUAUUUGAAGACAUAUCAGUAAGUAUUCUUUAUAUUUUGCAGACAGAUAUAAAAAGAACCUUGCUUAAAUAGUUCCUGAAAACCUAGAAGGCAGUUAGCUUGAAUAGUUGAACUACUACUUAGUGCCAAUGUCAUGUAUAGUAAUAACUUAAAAAAAUUAAUAUAUCAAUCUGAAUUGUUUCUAAUUGAAAAAUGAGUUCUUUUUAACCUUGAUUUUUGUUUCACAUUUCCAUACAAGACUUCUGUUUUCACAAUGUCAUAGAAUCAAGUGACAUGUUAGAGUAUUUUUGCCAAACUGUAGUGCAAGUGCCAAGGCAUUUCUUUCCUUGCAGCUCAGACCAGGUAUAAACAUUUUAGAAACCAUGUUUUAGGGAUGACUCCCCUCACCCCCAUCCUGGCAGUACACAUGUUGUAACACAAACACCAGAGAAUCACACAUCUAAGCUAAUGCUUAAAAAUAUCUGGAAGGGACCAUGUAUUUGCCCUAUAGUAAAGGUAUUUUCUUUACAUUCAUUCUUGUUUGAAUUUACUUCAAAACCAACUUAUAUUUAGAUGUCAAUAUUGAUAGUUCAUUUCAGUGUUUCCUAAAUGUAUGAAAUCUUAAGAUGUUCACAAUAAUUUCCUCAGUAAGCAUUGACAAUAGUCCCUAGAAUGGAACAAUACACACCCAAGACACCAGUUCCUCAACACACUUCUAAAUUUUCAUUAACAUAAAAUAACCUGUAAAUUAAUAGGUAGCCGGAACUGUACAUGGGAAAGCUGGCUGCUGGUUCACCUGGUUUAUUGUGAAUUCCAGUAAAGUAUUUUACUCUAAAAAAAAUAGAGACAUAAUUCUAGCCAGAAAUGUUAAAAGUAUAUAGAAACAUAUGUGGUACAGAGUAUAUAAGUCAAGACUCCUGUACUGCAAGGCUUACAUUAGAGAGUGAAGGAGAAAUGUAUUAUUUACAUUGAGAUUAGCUACUGGUGUGUGCCGAAAGUUUAAAUUAGCUGCAAGAAAUUUUAUCUAGACUUGCACCUGCCUAGUGCUCGAAGUUGGUAUUUACUGGGCAGAUUAAUUACACACGUUCUUCUGUGCCUUUAAAUAUGAUCAGGCAGAUGCAGGCACUGUUCAUAGUGAGCGCAUUUCUUCUAAGUGCCUUUGGGAUAGAGAGUUAUUACAUCAUCACAAAUUUCCAAAUUAACAUACAUCUCAUACAUCACUUAAGGAGUGAUUUAAAUGUUAUUUGCUAUGUAAUUUGGUCCUUGCUUUAGACGUUGAUAAGCUCCCAUUUGCUUAUUUUUGAGUCUUCUGAGCAAGGUUUACCUUCACAAAUUCAUCUGGCUAUUCUGACAGCAUUCUUUACUUUGUGUAAAGAAAUAUG